rnacentral:rRNA from 1 species
UACGUAGGGUGCAAGCGUUGUCCGGAAUUAUUGGGCGUAAAGAGCUCGUAGGCGGUCUGUCACGUCGGCUGUGAAAUCCCGAGGCUCAACCUCGGGCCUGCAGUGGGUACGGGCAGACUAGAGUGCGGUAGGGGAGAUUGGAAUUCCUGGUGUAGCGGUGGAAUGCGCAGAUAUCAGGAGGAACACCGAUGGCGAAGGCAGAUCUCUGGGCCGUAACUGACGCUGAGGAGCGAAAGCAUGGGGAGCGAACAGG